rnacentral:rRNA from 1 species
GACGGAGAGUUUGAUCCUGGCUCAGGGUUAACGCUGGCGGCGCGCAUAACACAUGCAAGUCGAGCGAGGGCUUAUUUCUCGCAAGAGAGAUGAGUUCCUAGCGGCGAACGGGUGAGUAACACGUGGGCAACCUUUCCUAUCGCGGGGGAUAACACCGGGAAACCGAUGCUAAUACCGCAUGUCGUCACCGGUCGCAUGGCUGGUGAAGAAAGCAGCAAUGCACGAUGGGGUGGGCCCGCGGCCUAUCAGCUAGUCGGUGGGGUAACGGCCUACCGAGGCGAUG